GUGUAGGAUAGGUGGGAGGCUUUGAAGUGUGGACGCCAGUCUGCAUGGAGCCGACCUUGAAAUACCACCCUUUAAUGUUUGAUGUUCUAACGUGGACCCGUUACCCGGGUUGCGGACAGUGUCUGGUGGGUAGUUUGACUGGGGCGGUCUCCUCCUAAAGAGUAACGGAGGAGCACGAAGGUUGGCUAAUCCUGGUCGGACAUCAGGAGGUUAGUGCAAUGGCAUAAGCCAGCUUGACUGCGAGCGUGACGGCGCGAGCAGGUGCGAAAGCAGGUCAUAGUGAUCCGGUGGUUCUGAAUGGAAGGGCCAUCGCUCAACGGAUAAAAGGUACUCCGGGGAUAACAGGCUGAUACCGCCCAAGAGUUCAUAUCGACGGCGGUGUUUGGCACCUCGAUGUCGGCUCAUCACAUCCUGGGGCUGAAGUAGGUCCCAAGGGUAUGGCUGUUCGCCAUUUAAAGUGGUACGCGAGCUGGGUUUAGAACGUCGUGAGACAGUUCGGUCCCUAUCUGCCGUGGGCGCUGGAGAACUGAGGGGGGCUGCUCCUAGUACGAGAGGACCGGAGUGGACGCAUCACUGGUGUUCGGGUUGUCAUGCCAAUGGCACUGCCCGGUAGCUAAAUGCGGAAGAGAUAAGUGCUGAAAGCAUCUAAGCACGAAACUUGCCCCGAGAUGAGUUCUCCCUGAGACUUAGAGUCUCCUGAAGGAACGUUGAAGACGACGACGUUGAUAGGCCGGGUGUGUAAGCGCAGCGAUGCGUUGAGCUAACCGGUACUAAUGAACCGUGAGGCUUAACCUUACAACGCCGAAG
rnacentral:rRNA from 1 species